GGACGAACGCUGGCGGCGUGCUUAACACAUGCAAGUCGAACGGAAAGGCCCUGCUUUUGUGGGGUGCUCGAGUGGCGAACGGGUGAGUAACACGUGAGUAACCUGCCCUUGACUUUGGGAUAACUUCAGGAAACUGGGGCUAAUACCGGAUAGGAGCUCCUGCUGCAUGGUGGGGGUUGGAAAGUUUCGGCGGUUGGGGAUGGACUCGCGGCUUAUCAGCUUGUUGGUGGGGUAGUGGCUUACCAAGGCUUUGACGGGUAGCCGGCCUGAGAGGGUGAUCGGCCACAUUGGGACUGAGAUACGGCCCAGACUCCUACGGGAGGCAGCAGUGGGGAAUAUUGCACAAUGGGCGGAAGCCUGAUGCAGCAACGCCGCGUGCGGGAUGACGGCCUUCGGGUUGUAAACCGCUUUCGCCUGUGACGAAGCGUGAGUGACGGUAAUGGGUAAAGAAGCACCGGCUAACUACGUG
rnacentral:rRNA from 1 species